GACGAACGCUGGCGGCGUGCCUAAUACAUGCAAGUCGAACGCUCUUUCUUUCACCGGAGCUUGCUCCACCGAAAGAAAAAGAGUGGCGAACGGGUGAGUAACACGUGGGUAACCUGCCCAUCAGAAGGGGAUAACACUUGGAAACAGGUGCUAAUACCGUAUAACACUAUUUUCCGCAUGGAAGAAAGUUGAAAGGCGCUUUUGCGUCACUGAUGGAUGGACCCGCGGUGCAUUAGCUAGUUGGUGAGGUAACGGCUCACCAAGGCAACGAUGCAUAGCCGACCUGAGAGGGUGAUCGGCCACACUGGGACUGAGACACGGCCCAGACUCCUACGGGAGGCAGCAGUAGGGAAUCUUCGGCAAUGGACGAAAGUCUGACCGAGCAACGCCGCGUGAGUGAAGAAGGUUUUCGGAUCGUAAAACUCUGUUGUUAGAGAAGAACAAGGAUGAGAGUAGAACGUUCAUCCCUUGA
rnacentral:rRNA from 1 species